rnacentral:lncRNA from 1 species
GAGCAAGGUGGAGACGCUGCGCUCGGCGGUCGAGUACAUCCGCGCGCUGCAGCAGCUGCUGGAUGAGCAUGACGCGGUGAGCGCCGCCUUCCAGGCGGGCGUCCUGUCGCCCACCAUCUCCCCCAACUACUCCAACGACAUGAACUCCAUGGCCGGCUCGCCGGUCUCAUCCUACUCGUCGGACGAGGGCUCUUACGACCCGCUCAGCCCAGAGGAACAAGAACUGCUCGACUUCACCAACUGGUUCUGAGGGGCUCGGCCUGGUCAGGCCCUGGUGCGAAUGGACUUUGGAAGCGGGGCCAUCGCACAACCUGCAUCUUUAGUGCUUUCUCGUCAGCGAUGUUGGGAGAAAAGCAGAAAAAAGAAGAGAAGAAGAAAGCAAACAAAUUCCAGGCAACCAACCUCUAUGCCAACUAAGCGUCACAUGCGAAGCAAGGCUCUGGCAAAACAAGGAUGCGCUCAGAACAGUAUCUCUGCACUUCAACCAUUCACGGAGACAGAAAGAGUGACUAGGGCCUGAGUCAAUGCACAAAACGCCACUUGUGUGCAAAACUAGUGGGCUCCUGGCAGAAAGGAGCAGCACACGCCCUCUAGGAACUCCCACCCACCACUAACAGGCAGAGCUGACCUUCCUGCCCUCCCUGAAAGCGCAGUUCAUAGCCCUCUAGAAAUGGGUUGGUGUCUUUCGUCUCUGUUUGCCCCCACCCUGAUAAGCUUUGGACACUUUUCUUCAGUGAAAUUGUGCUAUACUCAGUCCUUUAAAGCCCCAAUUGGUGGGGGGGGGUCCCCAAGCUCCACUCCCUCACACCACCUUUUCUACCAUUUUCAUCAUAGAAUGCUUCCAAUCUUUUGUGAAUUUUUUUUAUUAUAAGAAGAAUCUAUUUGUAUCUAUCCUAACCAGUUUGGGGAUAUAUUAAGAUAUUUUUGUACAUAAGAGAGAGAGAAAAAUUUAUAGAGUUUUGUACAAAUGGUUUAAAAUGUGUAUAUCUUGAUACUUUAACAUGUAAUGCUAUUACCUCUGCAUAUUUUAGAUGUGUAGUUCACCUGACAACUGCCAUGUUCCCUAUGUGGUUUUGUAAAGACCUGUCCUCAUAGGUGAGAUCAAAAGGCCACCAGAUGUACUUCAGCACCAAUGUGUCUUACUUUAUAGAAACUUUGUUAAUGUAUUAAUGACAUUAUUAAAUACUGUUCAAGAAGAACAAAGUUUAUGCAGCUACUGUCCAAACGCAAAGUGGCAGCCAGUUGGUUUUGAUGGGUUGCCUUUUGGGAAAUUUCUAUCACUGCCCCCCCUUUUUUUCUUACUGUUUUAUUACAAACUUACAAAAAAAAAAACCCAUGUAUAACCCUGUUUUAUACAAACUAGUUUCGUAAUAAAACUUUUUUCUUUUUUUACA